GAUUGGUGGGAGACGGGCCGACCCCGCCCCUCGCCCCCGCCUCCGGCCCGAGGCCGCACGGGUGUCCUCGCGCUGCUAGUCCGCGCGCAUCCUCGCAGUUUGCCGCUUCCUCGUCCUCCAUCCUGCGUCCAUGGCCACCGCUGCGACUGAGGAGCCCUUCCCUUUUCACGGUCUCCUGCCGAAGAAGGAGACCAGAGCCGCCUCCUUCCUCUGCCGCUACCCGGAGUAUGACGGGCCGGGGGUGCUCAUCGCUGUCCUGGACACGGGGGUCGACCCGGGGGCUCCGGGCAUGCAGGUUACAACUGAUGGAAAACCAAAAAUCGUUGAUAUCAUUGAUACAACAGGAAGUGGCGAUGUGAAUACUGCUACGGAAGUAGAACCAAAGGAUGGUGAAAUUGUUGGCCUUUCAGGAAGAGUGCUUAAGAAAGAACGGAAGGAAAAAAUCUGGGACCCUGUUCACAGAGUGGCCCUUGCAGAAGCCUGUAGAAAACAGGAAGAAUUUGACGUUGCCAACAACGGCUCUUCUCAAGUCUGAAAGGGACCUGAGAAUUUGCGACUCUAAGAAGUUCCCAAGUUAUGCAGAUGCUGUUGGUCUGAGGAACACAGUUGGAAAAACAAUGGGCCAAACCAUUUAUUCAUAAAAGGCAAACAGGAGAUAAUCAUGGCAGACAAGAGGCAGGACUAGAUUGCAACUCUGUCUCUGAUUAACAGAGAAGGGUGUGGAGUCUCGUAAUGUGAAUUUUAGCACCAGAACAACUCCAAGAACAAAUCCCGAGAAGAACCACAGACCCUCUGAAGGACCCGGGAGGCGGAGGUUGCGGUGAGCUGAGACCGUGCCAUUGCAUUCCAGCCUGAGCAACAAGAGCAAAACUCCGUAAAAAAAAAAAAAAAAAAAAAAAAAAAAAAACAGCCUGCAGCCCUAGACGCUGUGACAGAGCCUACCCAAAUGAGAAUGAACCAGAAAACCAACUCUAGUAAUAUGACAAAACAAGCCUCAUUAACACCCCCCAAAAAAAUCACUCUGGUUCACCAGCAAUGGAUCCAAACCAAGAAUAAAUUUCUGAUUUAUCUGAAAAAUAAUUCAAGAGGUUAGUUAUUAAGCUAAUCGUGGAGGCACCAGAAAAACGUAAAGCCCAAUGCAAGGAAAUCCAAAAAAUGACACAAGAAGUGAAGGGAGAAAUAUUCAAGGAAAAAGAUAGCAUGAAGAAAAAAACAAUCAAAAUUUCAGGAAAUAUUGAACACACUUAUAGACGUGCCCAGUGCUCUGGAAAGUCUCAGCAAUUGAAUUAAACAAGCAGAAGAAAGAAAUUCAGAGCUCAAGGCAAGAUCUUUGAAUUAACCCAAUCCAACAAAGACAAAGGAAAAAGAAUAAGAAAAUAUGAACAAAGCCUCUAAGAAGCCUGGGAUUACAUUAAAUGACCAAACCUAAGAAUAAUCAGUAUUUCUGAGAAAGAAAAGAAAUCUAAAACUUUGGAAAACAUAGUUGAGGGAAUAAUCGAGGAAAACUUCCCGGGCCUUGCUAAAGACCUAGACAUCCAAAUACAAGAAGCACAAAGAACACCUGGGAAAUUUCUCACAAAAAGAUUGUUGCCUAGGCACAUUUUCAUCAGAUUAUUUAAAGUUACUAUGAAGGAAAGAAUCCUAAGAGCUAUGGGACAAAAGUACCAGCAGAUUUCUCAGCAGAAACCCUACAAACUAGAAGGGUUUGGGGCCCUAUCUUCAGCCUCCUCAAACAAAACGAUUAUCAGCCAAGAAUUUUGUAUCCAGCAAAACUAAGCAUCAUAUAUUAAAGAAAGAUACAGUCUUUUUCAGACAAACAAAUGCUGAGAGAAUUCACCACAACCAAGCCACCACUACAAGAACUACUAAAAGGAGCUCUAAAUCUUGAAACAAAUCCUGGAAACACAUCAAAACAAAACCUCUUUAAAGCCUAAAGCACACAGGACCUAUAAAAAAAAAAUACAAGUUGAAAAGCAAAAACAAAACAAAACAAAAAAAAAGAAAACAAGGUACACAGGCAACAAAUAGCAUGAUGAAUGCAAUGGUACCUCACAUCUCAAUAGUAACAAUGAAUGUAAAUGGCCUAAAUGCUCCACUUAAAAGAUACAGAAGUGCAGAAUGGAUAAGAACUCACCAACCAACUAUCUGCUGCCUUCAGGAGACUCACCUAACACAUAAGGACUCACAUAAAGUUAAUGGGUGGAAAAGAGCAUUUCAUGCAAAUGGACAUCAAAAGCGAGCAGGGGUAUCUAUUUUUGAAUCAGACAAAACAAACUUUAAAGCAACAGCAGUUAAAAGAGACAGGUACAUUAGAUAAUGGUAAAAGGCCUUGUCCACCAGGAAAAUAUCACAAUCCUAAAGAUAUGUGAACCUAGCACUGGAGCUCCCAAAUUUAUAAAGCAAUUACUAAUAGACCUAAGAAAUGAGAUAGUCAACAACACAAUAAUAGUGGGGGACUUCAAUACUCCACUGACAUCAAGACAGAAAGCCAAAAAAAAAAAAAAAUGGAUUUGAACUAUCCCUUGGAACAAUUGGGCUUAACAGAUUUAUACAGAACAUUUCAUCCAACAACCGCAGAAUACACAUUCUAUUCAAAAGCACGUGGAACUUUCUCCAAGAUAGGCCAUAUGAUAGGCCAUAAAACAAGCCUCAACAAACUUAAGAAAAGUGAAAUUAUAUCAAGCCAUCUCUCAUACCACAGUGGAAUAAAACUAGAAGUCAACUCCAAAAGGAACCUUCAAAACGCACAUAUAUGGAAAUUAAAUAACCUGCUCCUGAAUGAGCAUGGGGUCAUAAACAAAAUAAAGAUGGAAAUUUAAAAAUUCUUCAAACUGAAUGACAAUAAUGACACGACCUAUCAAAACCUCUGGGAUACAGCAAUGGUGAUGCUAAGAGGAAAGUUUAUAGCCCUAAAUGCCUACAUCAAAAAGAUUGAAAGAGCACAAACUAACAUUCUGAGGUCACACCUCAAGAAACUAGAGAAACAAGAACAAAUCAAGGCCAAACCCCACAGAAGAAAGGAAAUAAUCAAGAUCAGCACAGAAUGAAAUGAAAUUGAAACAAAAAAAAUACAAAAGAUAAAUGACACAAAAAGCUGGUUCUUUGGAAAGAUAAAAUUGAUAGAGCAUUAGCAAGAUUAACCAAUAAAAGAAGAGAGAAAAUCCAAAUAACCUCACUAAGAAAAAAAUCGGGAGAUAAUUACAACUGACACCACCGAAAUAUGAAAGAUCAUUCAAGGCUGCUAUGAACACCUUUACGCACGUAAACUAAAAAACCUAGAAGAGAUGGAUAAACUCCUGAAAAUAUACAACUCUCCUAGCUUAAAUCAGGAAGAAUUAGAUACCCUAAACAGACCAAUAAUAAGCAGUGAGAUUGAAAUGGUAAUUUAAAAAUUACCAACAAAAAAAAGUCCAGGACCAGAGAGAAUCACAGCAGAUUUCUACCAGACAUUCAGAGAAUUGGUACCAAUCCUUUUGACACCAUUCCACAAGAUAGAGAAAGAGGGAACCCUUCCUAAUUCAUUCUAUAAAGCCAGCAUCACCCUAAUACCAAAACCAGGAAAGGGCAUAACCAAAAAAGAAAACUACAGACCAAUAUCCCUGAUGAACAUAGAUGCUAAAAUCCUUAACAAAAUACUAGCUAACCAAAUCCAACAACGUAUCAAAAAGAUAACCCACCAUGAUCAAGUGGGUUUCAUUCCAGAGAUGCAGAGAUGGUUUAACAUGCACAAGACAAUACACCACAUAAACAUAAUUAAAAACAAACAUCACAAGAUCAUCUCAAUAGAUGCAGAAAAAGCAUUUGACAAAAUCCAGCAUCGGUUUAUGAUUAAAACUCUCAGCAAAAUCGGCAUACAAGGGACAUAUCUUAAUGUAAUAAAAGCCAUCCAUGACGAACCCACAGCCAACGUUAAUACUGAAUGGGGAAAAGUUGAAAGCAUUCCCUCUGAGAACUGGAACAAGACAAGGACGUGCAUUCUCACCACUCCUCUUCAACAUACUACUGGAAGUCCUAACCGGAGCAAUCAGACAAGAGAAAGAAAUAAAGGGCACCCAAAUCAGUAAAGAGGAAGUCAAACUGUCACUGUUUGCUGACAAUAUGAUUGUUUAACUCGAAAAUCAUAAAGACUCCUCCAGAAAGUUCCUAGAAAUGAUAAAAGAAUUCAGCAAAGUUUCCAGAUACAAGAUUAAUGUACACAAAUCAGUAGCUCUUCUAUAUACCAACAGCGACCAAAUGGAGAAUCAAAUCAAGAAUUCAAACCCUUUUACGACAGCUGCAAAAAUAAAACAUAAAAUAAAAUACUUAAGAAUGUACCUAAACCAGGAAGCUAAAGACCUCUACAAGGAAAACUGCAAAACACUGCUGAAAGAAAUCAUAGACGACACGAACAAAUGGAAACACAUCCCAUGCUCAUGGAUGGUUAGAAUCAAUAUUGUGAAAAUGAUUCUACUGCCAAAAGCAAUCUACGAAUUCAGUAAAAUCCCCAUCAAAAUACUACCAUCAUUCUUCACAGAAUUAGAAAAAAACAACUCUAAAAUUCAUAUGGAACCAAAAAGGGGCCCACAUAGCCAAACCAAGACUAAGCAAAAGGAACAAAUCUGGACGCAUCACACUACCUGAUUUCAAUUUAUACUAUAAAGCCAUAGUCACCAAAACAACAUGGUACUGGUAUGAAAAUAGGCACAUAGACCAAUGGAACAGAAUAGAGAACCCAGAAAUAAACUCAAAUACUUACAGUCAACUGAUCUUUGACAAAGCAAGCAAAAUCAUAAAGUGGAGAAAGGACACCCUUUUCAACAAAUGGUGCUGGGAUAAUUGGCUAGCCACAUGUAGGAGAAUGAAAAUGGAUCCUCAUCUCUCACCUUAUACAACAAUCCACUCAAGAUGGAUUAAGCACUUAAAUCUAAGACCUGAAACUAUAGAAAUUCUAGAAGAUGACAUCAGAAAAACCCUUCUAGACAUUGGCUUAGGCAAGGAUGUCAUGACCAAGAACCCAAAAGCAAAUGCAAUAAAAACAAAGAUAAAUAGUUGGGACUAAAUUAAACUAAAGAGCUUUUGCACGGCAAAAGGAACAGUCAAGAGAGUAAACAGACAACCCACGGAGUGGGAGAAAAUCUUCACAAUCUAUACAUCUGAUAAAGGACUAAUAUCCAGAAUCUACAAUGAACUCAAAUCAGUAAGAAAAAAACAAACAAUCCCAUCAAAUAGUGGGCUAAGGACAUGAAUAGAUAAUUCUCAAAAGGAGAUAUACAAAUAGCCAACAAACAAAUGGAAAAAUGCUCAACAUCUCUAAUGAUCAGGGAAAUGCAAAUCAAAACCACAGUGCAAUACCACAUCACUCCUGCAAGAAUGGCCAUAAUCAAAAAAUCAAAAAACAGUAGAUUUUGCUGUGGAUGUGGUGAUCAGGGAACACUUCUCCACUGCUGGGGGGAAUGUAAACUAGUACAGCCACUGUGGAAAAUGGGGUGGAGACUCCUUAAAGAACUAAAAGCACAAGUACCAUUUUAUCCAGCAGUCUCACUACUGAGCAUCUACACACAGGAAAAGAAGUCAUUAUACGAAAAAGAUACUUGCACAUGCAUGUUUAUAGCAGCACAAUUUGCAAUUGCAAAAUCAUGGAACCAACCCAAAUGCCCAUCAAUCAACGAGUGAAUAAAGAAACUGUAGUAUGUAUAUACGAUGGAAUACUGCUUAGCCAUAAAAAGGAAUUAAUUAAUGGCAUUCGCAGUGACCUGUACCCCAAUAACCUAUGGAAAAAUUUAAAAAUAAAA